GAGUAGUAUUAGAUAUAUUCUAUAAAUUUAAAAAAUUUGGCGGUAUUUAAUUUUUUUCAGAGGAAUUUGUUCUGUAAUCGACAGUCCCCGCUAUAACGUACUUAAUCUAUAAAUUUAUAUAUCUCCGUUAUUGAAUAUGUUAUAGAAAUUAAACUUUCAAAAAAUUUUAAUUUAAUGUCAGGUCAAGGUGUAGUUUAUGAUUAAGAAGAAAUGAAUUACAAUAAAGUUUAUUAUAUGGAUUUUUAAUUGUAAAAUUUUAAUGAAGGUGGAUUUGUUAGUAAAGUUUUUUAUUAUAAAAAUUUGAUAUUAACUCUAAAGUAUGC
rnacentral:rRNA from 1 species